AAUAUAUAUAUAUAUAUACACCAAUCACAACAAUAUGGGACUCAAAUGAAAGCCCAAAAGAAUGAGUGCACUCGCACCUCCACAGUGAAGUUAAAUCGCCUUAACGCUUUCCGUAAUUACUUUUCCCAUACCGGUUUGAAUGAUUGACAUAAAAAUAAAAAACAAAAAUUUGUCAACAAUUAAAAAUCCAUUAAAUAAAUAACAAUUUUAUUGAUUUGGAAACUCAUUGAGUUCAAAAUAAUUCGAAAAGACUAUUCUGCUCACAUAUUUUAUUCAAGACGCCUAUAUUGACAAGAUGAAUGCCAGAAUUGUGGGCAUUUUAAUGCUAAUUAAUUGCUGUUUUCACUUAUACCAGACGGGAAAGCGUCCUUUCA